UACGUAGGGUGCAAGCGUUAAUCGGAAUUACUGGGCGUAAAGCGUGCGCAGGCGGCUUUGCAAGACAGAUGUGAAAUCCCCGGGCUCAACCUGGGAACUGCAUUUGUGACUGCAUGGCUAGAGUGCGGCAGAGGGGGAUGGAAUUCCGCGUGUAGCAGUGAAAUGCGUAGAGAUCGGGAGGAACAUCUGUGGCGAAGGCGGCCACCUGGACCAGCACUGACACUGAGGCACGAAAGCGUGGGGAGCAAACAGG
rnacentral:rRNA from 1 species